UACGUAGGGUGCAAGCGUUAAUCGGAAUUACUGGGCGUAAAGCGUGCGCAGGCGGUUUUGUAAGUCUGUCGUGAAAUCCCCGGGCUCAACCUGGGAAUGGCGAUGGAGACUGCAAGGCUAGAGUUUGGCAGAGGGGGGGUAGAAUUCCACGUGUAGCAGUGAAAUGCGUAGAUAUGUGGAGGAACACCGAUGGCGGAAGGCAGCCCCCUGGGUCAAGACUGACGCUCAUGCACGAAAGCCGUGGGGGAGC
rnacentral:rRNA from 1 species